UGUGAAGUGUGUUGCACAGAGGAUUUUCCUGAUGAAAUAUCUUCAAAAAAGCUGACCAGAGCUUUCCCACAUUAAGAUAUACAAGGUUUUGUCUGAAUUAUUUUCAUAAAUUGACCUGAAAUGUCAUCACAGUUAGGUGAAUGAGCUUUCUUGUAGGCUCCCUUCAGGUACUGGAAGGCUG